AAGACAGGUGACUGCGGCUGUGCAGAAAGGGGUCCCCAUUUUCUGAGUGAGGAGCUUCUGUAACAUCCAGCUGAAGACUACCUUUGUUAGAUUUGAUGUUUCUAGGGAACAAGGACUGUCGCCAGAAUGUUUUCUGCCACUCACUCAGUUCUGGUCAUCGUCUUAAUACUUGGAGGGACCAAUGGUGACUCAGUGAACCAGACAGAAGGCCCAGUGACUGUCUCAGAGGGGGCUCUCAUGACCCUGAACUGCACUUACCAGGCCACGUAUUCAAAUAUCUAUCUUUUCUGGUAUGUCCAGCAUCUCAACAAAGCUCCUCAACUCCUCCUGAAGGGCUUAACAGCAGACAAGAAGGUAGAGCAUGAAGGUUUUCAGGCCACUCUUGUGAAGAGGGACAGCUCCUUCCACCUGCAGAAACAGGCAGUGCAAGCAUCAGACUCGGCUGUGUACUACUGUGCUCUGAGUGACACAAGGUACCAGGCAAAUCACAUAGCAGUCUGCGUGUGGCUGAGAUAUAACGCUAUUGAGGUGCUGUUUGCAGUGAAAGCCUUUGGACCGGAGCUGCUGCAGCCGUGGGAUGAAAAAGCUUGCAGCGGGUGGAGGUUGCUCGUCAUUGCGGUGCACGGGCUUCUCACCGCGGCGGCUCCUCUUGGUGCGGAGCGCGGGCUCCCGCUGCACGGGCUUCAGUAG